rnacentral:rRNA from 1 species
UACGAAGGGGGCUAGCGUUGUUCGGAAUUACUGGGCGUAAAGCGUAUGUAGGCGGAUCGUUAAGUCGGGGGUGAAAUCCCGAGGCUCAACCUCGGAACUGCCUUCGAUACUGGCGAUCUUCGAGUCCGGGAGAGGUGAGUGGAACUCCGAGUGUAGAGAUGAAAUUCGUAGAUAUUCGGAGGAACACCAGUGGCGAAGGCGGCUCACUGGCCCGGUACUGACGCUGAAAUACGAUAGCGUGGGGAGCAAACAGG